rnacentral:piRNA from 1 species
UAAUUCCAGUUAAUUUCUGGUAAGAGGUC